UACGGAGGGUGCGAGCGUUAAUCGGAAUUACUGGGCGUAAAGCGUGCGUAGGCGGAUGGGUCAGUCAGCCGUGAAAGCCCCGGGCUUAACCUGGGAACGGCGGUUGAGACGGCUCGUCUGGAGUGGGCUAGAGGAUCGUGGAAUUCCGGGUGUAGCGGUGAAAUGCGUAGAGAUCCGGAGGAACACCGAUGGCGAAGGCAGCGGUCUGGGGCCACACUGACGCUGAGGCACGACGGCGUGGGGAGCAAACAGG
rnacentral:rRNA from 1 species